rnacentral:rRNA from 1 species
CAAGCCCUGGAAACGGGGUCUAAUACCGGAUAACACUCUGUCCCGCAUGGGACGGGGUUAAAAGCUCCGGCGGUGAGGGAUGAGCCCGCGGCCUAUCAGCUUGUUGGUGGGGUAAUGGCCUACCAAGGCGACGACGGGUAGCCGGCCUGAGAGGGCGACCGGCCACACUGGGACUGAGACACGGCCCAGACUCCUACGGGAGGCAGCAGUGGGGAAUAUUGCACAAUGGGCGAAAGCCUGAUGCAGCGACGCCGCGUGAGGGAUGACGGCCUUCGGGUUGUAAACCUCUUUCAGCAGGGAAGAAGCGAAAGUGACGGUACCUGCAGAAGAAGCGCCGGCUAACUACGUGCCAGCAGCCGCGGUAAUACGUAGGGCGCAAGCGUUGUCCGGAAUUAUUGGGCGUAAAGAGCUCGUAGGCGGCUUGUCACGUCGGAUGUGAAAGCCCGGGGCUUAACCCCGGGUCUGCAUUCGAUACGGGCUAGCUAGAGUGUGGUAGGGGAGAUCGGAAUUCCUGGUG